CACAAGUCCAAGUGAUUCAGCUCUCAACUUUGUGUCAUGCUCUCUGUUUGAUCUUUGCAAGACAGUGUGGGUUUGUUCAUCCAAGGAAAGGACUGCAUGCCCUGUCUGAACUAGCAGAGCCCUCUGAACAUCACCCAGGAGCAAAGAAAAAACACUUCUGAGUGUCAGCCCAUAGCCAGCACUACUGGGGGGAGCUCCCCAAAGCCAAAACAACCUCCAUGAGUUCCUCAGGAAGCCAUCCCUGGAUGACAGCCACAUCAGGCUGAGACCACUGCCUUGGGUGUGCAGGACUGCUUGUCCUUUUACUCCCCUGUUAGUCAAUACUUGCCUGUUGUCUGUGGUGCUAUAUUUAAAUGGUGAACUGCUUGGAGCACACCCUGUCCUUUCAUUUUGUGAUUGCACUGUGCCUCAUAUAAUGGGGUAUUGCUUCAUGACUUGUGCUGUUAGGAAUGGAUGCAAAGCAAAUAAAUAAUAUUAAUGCUAAUAAGAACCUUUCCUUACUUCCUGCUUUUGUCUUUCUUUCAUUUGUUUAUUUUAUCUUCGCUGUUAUAUUUGUGCUUAUGUCACUUAAAUAAAAGAGCUACUCAAAUGC